AAAGGACUUUGAAAAGAGAGUUAAAUAGGGCGUGAAACUGCACACUGAAAAGCGAAUGAGUACACAUGGGUUCUUGUUGCUAAUCAAGUGCGUAUGGCAGACCGGCUUGUGAUACGUUAAUGUAUCAUUAGUCGGUCGUCGUACGUACUGCAUUUGGUUGCUUGACGUUCUGCUUGGUUUCAUAACAGCUACAGCCACAGUGAAGUACACCUCUCCCUCGUGGAGAUGGAUGUGUCACUCGUAGCCUUAUUAUGUUAACAAUAGAGAAAUUCUGUUCGUGGACAGCUGUGGUCGCUAAAUGCGGACGCAGUCGUUAGCUGAGAUGGAGCUUGAGAUACUCUGGUUCACAGAGCCUCAUGAUGGUUGGUUCACAGGAUGCGUUAUUGCGCGGUCUGUGGAUCGGUUGCAUCGGUCAUGUGAAUGCUAAAAGCAGGUUGUAUUGUGGCAUCAUUCGAACCGUCUUGAAACACGGGCUAAGGAGUUCAACAGAUGCGCGAGUUUACUGGUUUUCUAAACCAGAUGGCUAAGUUAACGCGACUUUGUGUAUAAUGGAGAGAACUCGUCCACUUUCGAGUUGGACGAGGUCACCUCCUGUGAUGGAUGGCAUAUUGAGUACCGGUUGCUGUUCGCAGUCGAGCGCAUAUGCUGAGACCCGAAAGAUGGUGAACUAUGCCUGGGUAGGAUGAAGCCGGAGGAAACUCUGGUGGAGGUCCGAAGCGUUUUUGACGUGCAAAUCAAUCGUCAGACUUGGGUAUAGGGGCGAAAGACUAAUCGAACCAUCUAGUAGCUGGUUCCCUUCGAA
rnacentral:rRNA from 1 species